CCUACGGGGGGCAGCAGUGGGGAAUCUUGGGCAAUGGGCGCAAGCCUGACCCAGCAACGCCGCGUGAAGGAAGAAGGCUUUCGGGUUGUAAACUUCUUUUGAAAGGGAAGAGCAGAAGACGGUACCUCUUGAAUAAGCCACGGCUAAAUACGUGCCAGCAGCCGCGGUAAUACGUAGGUGGCCAGCGUUGUCCGGAUUUACUGGGUGUAAAGGGCGUGUAUCCGGGUUGAAAAGUCAGAUGUGAAAUGCCGGGGCUUAACCCCAGAACUGCAUUUGAAACUGUUGGUCUUGAGUAUCGGAGAGGCAGGCGGAAUUCCUAGUGUAGCGGUGAAAUGCGUAGAUAUUAGGAGGAACACCAGUGGCGAAGGCGGCCUGCUGGACGACAACUGACGGUGAGGCGCGAAAGCGUGGGGAGCAAACAGGAUUAGAUACCCCAGUAGUC
rnacentral:rRNA from 1 species